UACGUAGGCAGCAAGCGUUGUUCGGAGUUACUGGGCGUAAAGGGCGCGUAGGCGGGUGGCCAAGUCGGUGGUGAAAUCCUCCAGCUUAACUGGAGAACGGCCUUCGAUACUGGUCGCCUCGAGGGGGGUAGGGGCAGACGGAACGUUCCGGUGGAGCGGUGAAAUGCGUAGAUAUCUGCAGGAACACCCGUGGCGAAAGCGGCGCGCUGGACCACAACUGACGCUGAGGAACGAAAGCUAGGGGAGCAAACAGG
rnacentral:rRNA from 1 species